GUGCUCGCUUCGGCAGCACAUAUACUAAAAUUGGAACGAUACAGAGAAGAUUAGCAUGGCCCCUGCAUAAAUGAGUAAAUUGACAUUUGAAAUUAGANAGAGAACAAGAAGAUAAACAAUUUU
rnacentral:snRNA from 1 species